AUUGAACGCUGGCGGCAGGCCUAACACAUGCAAGUCGAACGGUAGCACAGAGAGCUUGCUCUCGGGUGACGAGUGGCGGACGGGUGAGUAACGUCUGGGAAACUGCCCGAUGGAGGGGGAUAACUACUGGAAACGGUAGCUAAUACCGCAUAACGUCGCAAGACCAAAGUGGGGGACCUUCGGGCCUCACACCAUCGGAUGUGCCCAGAUGGGAUUAGCUAGUAGGUGGGGUAAUGGCUCACCUAGGCGACGAUCCCUAGCUGGUCUGAGUGGAGGACCAGCCACACUGGAACUGAGGCACGGUCCAGACUCCGACGGGAGGCAGCAGUGGGGAAUAUUGCACAAUGGGCGCAAGCCUGAUGCAGCCAUGCCGCGUGUAUGAAGAAGGCCUUCGGGUUGUAAAGUACUUUCAGCGGGGAGGAAGGCGGUGAAGUUAAUAACUUCACCGAUUGACGUUACCCGCAGAAGAAGCACCGGCUAACUCCGUGCCAGCAGCCGCCGUAA
rnacentral:rRNA from 1 species